rnacentral:rRNA from 1 species
GGGGGAUAAGCUUCAUUGUCAAAAGGGAAACAGCCCAGAUCACCAGUUAAGGCCCCUAAAUAUUUGCUAAGUGACAAAGGAUGUAAAUGGACGUAGACAAUCAGGAGGUUUGCUUAGAAGCAGCCAAUUUCCUUUAAAAAGUGCGUAAUAGCUUACUGAUCAAGUCCAUUUGCGCCGAUAAUGUAUGGGACUAAGCAUUUUGCCGAAGCUGUGAGUUUUACGGUAGGAGAGCGUUCUGUUUGGCUUGAAGUAAUGGUGGAAACCUUUAUGGACUUAACAGAAGUGAGAAUGUCGGCUUAAGUAACGAAAACACUGGUGGGAAUCCAGUGCUCCGAAAGCCAAAAAUUUCCUUUGCAAGGUUCGUCCGCAAAGGGUUAGUCAGGUCCUAAAACGAGGCUUACCAGCGUAGUUGAUGGGAAACAGGUUAAUAUUCCUGUACUGCAACUGGUUUGGUUAAGGGUGACGAAAACGGUUAGGGUUAGCCAACAGUUGGUGUUUGGUUUAAGUUUUCAAGGUGUUGAGAAGCAGGGAGUCUGUUUUGAGCUGAGAAGCGAAUAUUUUUUUACUAAGGUAAAGAAAUAACCUGAGUCAUGUUUCCUAGAAAAGCCCUAAUAAUUUCAUUUAAUCAGGAUGCACCUGUAUUUUAAACUGACACAGGUUGGUGGGUAGAGUAUACUAAGGAGAGCGAGAUAACCCUUUUUAAGGAACUCGGCAAAAUGGCCUUGUAACUUCGGGAGAAAAGGUGCCCUGGUUUAUACCAGGGUUGCAGCGAUCAGAUCCAGGCGACUGUUUAUCAAAAACACAGGUCUCCGCAAAGUUGAAAAACUAUGKAUGGGGGCUGACGCCUGCCCAGUGCCGGAAGGUGAAAGAAACUUGUUAGCUUUUAGCAAAGCUCGUGACUUAAGCCCCGGUGAACGGCGGCAGUAACUAUAACUGUCCUAAGGAGCGAAAUUCCUUGUCGGGUAAGUUCCGACCUGCACGAAAGGCGUAACGAUCUGGAUACUGUCUCAAAAAGGGACUCGGUGAAAUAGAAUUAACUGUGAAGAUGCGGUUAACUUACACUUGGACAGAAAGACCCUAUGAAGCUUUACUGUAGUUUGAAAUUGAUUUUCGACUUUUCUUGCGCAGAAUAGGUGGGAGGCUUCGAUCGAUUUUUUUCGGAGAAUCGUGAGCCAUCAGUGAGAUACCACUCUAGAAAAGUUAAAAAUCUAAUUACGUUUCAUUAUAUGGACGUUUGACCAUUUCAGAUGGGCAGUUUUACUGGGGCGGUAGCCUCCUAAAAGGUAACGGAGGCGUACAAAGGUUUUCUCAAACUGGUCGGAAAUUAGUUUUGGAGUGCAAAGACAUAAGAAAGCUUAACUGUUAGACUUAUAAGUCAAGCAGUGACGAAAGUCGGUCUUAGUGAUCCGACGUUACUUAAUGGGAAGGACGUCGCUCAACAGAUAAAAGUUACUCUAGGGAUAACAGGCUGAUCUCCCCCAAGAGUUCACAUCGACGGGGAGGUUUGGCACCUCGAUGUCGGCUCAUCGCAACCUGGAGCGGUAGUACGUUCCAAGGGUUGGGCUGUUCGCCCAUGAAAGCGGUACGUGAGCUGGGUUCAGAACGUCGAGAGACAGUUCGGUCCAUAUCCGGUGUAAGCGUUGGAGUAUUGAAAGGAACUUUUUCUAGUACGAGAGGACCGAAAAGGACACACCAAUGGUGUGCCAGUUCUUGUGCCAACAGGAAAUGCUGGGUAGCUAUGUGUGAAGUGGAUAACUGCUGAAAGCAUAAA